rnacentral:misc_RNA from 1 species
CACUGCGAAGUGGAAGCGAGCCUGCUUAUGGGGGUUUCGCGGGAGGAACGGAGGGACUUAAAGGGAGUUGGAUGAAAAAAGAAAGGUAGAAUCGGCAGAGAAAGAGGGAAUGAGCGGCACGCGGACCGGGCAGGGGUGGCGGACCAAUUAAAUAUGGCGACAGCAGUGGGGUGUGGCGCUUGCGCAUGCGCAACGUCGCUUUCAGCUGGGGGGACAGGAGCCGCGGACAGAACGGGGCAGCGACGAGAAGGAACCGGCCGGCAAGCAGAGGGAUUGGCGAGUACCCGGCAUACGUUUGUGUGGUGCGCGCUGUCUUCGAGAGAUAGGCUUCCAGUGUCGCUCGAAAACUUGUCCGUCGACGUUUGUUCGCUUGCUCACUCGUACGAAGCGUUUCCUCGUUUUCAUUGAAACCGGUCGGAUCUGUGAAAAGUAGUCGAGAUGACGAUGGCAACGGAGACAGAGAACACUGGACCGGAGAGUAAGGAGAUUAAAGAUGUGAAAGAGAUGAAAGAGGCGCUGAAGGACGAAACGCCGCCGGACAAUAAGCAAGAGGAGAAAGAUGCAGCGAAAAAGGAAGAAAGUGGUAAAAAAGAAGAGACCGCUGACGCUGCGGCCGCUACGCCAUCCUCGGCACCGACCAAGGCUAUCAGCGUGCGUAAGGCCAACUACGAGAAAGAUAUUGUUUAUCUGUAUCAGUUCUCCCGAAUACCUCUUCUGCCCUCUAUCUCACAGUAUUGUCUCAAGGUGGAGACAUGGUUGCGACUUAAUGGCAUCAAAUACGAGAAUGUGGAUCAUAAGAUGAAGUUCCGCUCCAAGAAAGGCGGGUUGCCGUUUGUCGAACUGAACGGCGAAGAAAUUGCGGACAGUACGAUCAUUCUUCGCGAGUUGAGUCAAAAGUUCGGCAAGGACCUGGAUGCCUCCCUUACGUCUGAGCAACGAAGCGUUUCUCAUGCAAUGAUAUCGAUGAUCGAAAACCACCUAGUUUGGGUAGUCAUGUGCUGGCGCAUCAAGAAUCUGGAUCAGGUUCUGAAGGGUUACAAGGUGAACCUUCAGCACGUGCUCGGCACUCGUAUUCCCAAUGGCAUUCUCAACUUUUUCUUCAAGCUUACGUUUGGACGUAAGGGUGCAAAGAAAGUAAAGGCGCAGGGUAUGGGUGUGUAUUCUCCAGAAGAAGUGUCCCAAUUUGGUUGCGCCGAUCUCAAGGUUCUUUCCGACAUGCUUGCUGACAAACCCUUCUUUUUCGGGGACGAACCGACUAUGUUGGAUGUGGUGACAUUCGCGCAUCUUGCCCAAAUUCUCUACAUCGACAAAGACACGCCGUACAGUCUGCGGGACUAUAUGCAGGAGAAUUGUCCAAACUUGGUGGGGCACUGCUCGCGCAUGAAGGAGCGAUGCUUCCCGGAUUGGGAUGAGAUCUGCUCCACCCUUGACAUGAACACGCAUUUACCGAAACCGGAGAAACAGGAGGAGAAGGAAGGCAAAGAGGAUGUAAAGGAGUCGAAGGAAUCAAAAGAGGAAAAGGAGGGUGACAAGGAAAAGGCGGAUAAAGAAGAGAAAGAGCUGGAAAAGGACAAGGAGAUAGAUGAGAACAAAGAAAAGGAAAAGGAAGGGAAAUAAGCUGUCUCGAGAGGACAUGAAGCAAAUAAGUCGUUCAAGAAAAGGGAAAAAUGGAAAAAGAAGAUUCAAAACUGAAGAAAAUUGGGGGUGUGAUCUGGUGAGAUAUAAAGAGGGGGGAGGGGGGUUGAGAAAGAAAAGCAAGGGUGGGUGGAAGAAUGCGUGUGUAUGUGUGCGUGUGUGAAAGCUAUCGUGUGAAUGAUUGAUAGCAAGAAGUAGAAAAGGAGAAAAAAUGCGUGUGUGAAAGAAAGAGAGAGAGAAAGAAUGUGCGUAUGUGUGUAGAAAGCAUGAGUAAUAAAGAAGGAGGGGUUAGACUGUGCGUGAAAGAGCGAGCGAGAGAAUCAACGAGUGUAAGAAAAAAAGGGUAGGGGGAUUUCAGGUUUAGAGCUCUCUACUUAUACGUAUAGAUAUUAAUAGAUUCAUAAUGUUAAAUACUUCGUUUAUAUACGUUCGUAACACGUUACGCCAUUUCUCAUCGACACCCCAGCACACCCGAAUCGAACAACAAACUUUAUUAUUAUAUUCGACCCAGGGCCCUUUUUCCCCCCACGAAAAGUAAUAUAAGAUAGAUAAAGCGAGAAGAAUAAUAACAGAACGGGGCUAUCUCAUAAGUCAUUAGAAUAUCGUAGGUUUGCAAUAUAUCAAAUGCAAUAGCCUGACACAUUCAGGUGUGUGAGAGAUCUUCAAUGAACAGUGGCCAAAAUGAAUGCAUCGUACCAUCGUGCAAACAGACAUGAUGUGUGUUGUAUACGAUGCAGUUUAAUGCAAUGGAGCGAGAUCAUUUAUGGUUACGAUACACGACGAUAGAUAGCACCCCUGACACUGAUUCAGGGAGAAGGCGUCUUGCGGUCGUUUCUUACACCAUUGGCUCUUACUGUGCAAAAUGAGUUACGUACCUAGCGUUCCAGCAACGUACCGUAUAUCACAUUGUGAUCUUCGUUUGAUCGUAUUCUUUAAUUGCAUAUACGUUCGUAAUUUUAGAAUUACUAUUCGGUACACAAACUUUUAUUCCUUUUAAUCAUUGGUUUCAGACAAUCAGACUUCAUUUGAAUUAUCAUUUGAUAGGUGAUAUAGUUUCCUUUCUGAUACAUUUGAAUGCACGAGUGAUUUCUGAAAAAUCGUUUUUCACGCAACAGUAAUCAGAGAUCAAGUAUCGAAUCGUCAUAUGUGUCAGAAAGAAGGACGAUGUCUAUGACUUUACCUUGAAUUUUCAUACUUUUUAUAUUUCUUUGUAUGACUCAUUUCGAGUAAAAUGUUCUCGUGCCCACAUACGUCGAAUUACGUACUUUUUACAAUUUAUUGACAACGUCCCUCCGACGAACGAAGAAUCAUCAGCGAUUACGGAUCGGACAGUAAAUGAUGAUAUUUACGAUAAUUUGUAUAUUAUUAGAGAUAUUCGUAUCGCGUUCACACGGAUGCAAUCCGAGUGACGGCGUCGCCGGAAGCGGAAACGGCGCUGUCGUCACGUCUUAAAGUCGUUUAGGCGCUUUGUUUCUUCUUUUUCUUUCGUCGAGACAAAAAAAAAGAUACAAAUAAAAAAUAAAGAAACUCGAAAAGAGGCACAGGCAACAUUAAUCUUCUCUGUCUGGGUUUCUUUUCGAUAUUCGAAAACGAAACAAAAAUAAAAAAGAAAAAGAAAAACGAACGAAACGCUGUGCUGCCCCCGUGUGUUAGUUCAACUUUAUUAGAUGACUUUUUUCUUCGGAUGUGUGAGAAAAAUUUUACAUAACGAAGUAAAAGAAAAAAUACAAAAAAGUGUCUUUCACGCAUCGAAAUGAAGAAAAAAAAAACACAUAAACAUACACAACACACACACGUACAGACAUUUUGAUGUAUAAUGUUAUAUCGAACGGGAAUUGAAUGUUUUUUGUACGAGGCCGACUUUUAAUAAAACGUUGGCCAGAAAAAUAAUUCCACGAAGACACGAGGUUAAUAUAAUUAAUAUUUAAGUAGUUUACUAUAAUUAAACGACGAUUACGAUUACAUAAAGGACAAAUGGAAAAAACAAGUAAGUUAACAAUUAGUGUGUGGAAGCUGUUUAUACCUUAGGACAACGCAUACGUUUACACCCGUGGUUACAUUAUUAUUAUUAUUAAUUAUUAUGGAUUAUUACGAGUACGAGUAAAGUAAUAAAUAAUUAAAGAUUAGUGACGAGGAAAGGAAAGAAAAAAAAAGAAGUAAUAAGAAACACUUGGACAAGACCAUAAACGUUGCAAGCACAGUAGAACCGUCGAAUUUCUGGUUAACAAAGAACGCUGUCUGUGCAAGAUACAUCGGUUAAGGGGAAACGAUUACCUCAAUAGAGAGGAACCUCAUCGUAG